CACUCCCACCCAGGCCUAAUUGUAGAAAUGAUUUCAGAUUUUUUCAGUAAGGUGCUCUGAAGUCACCAGUGUGAGUUCAGACAGCUAGUGCUGUUCUGUGAACUCUGGGGCUAUUGUCAUCUUUCUUUAGUGAGGAUCUUCUAGAAAGUCAAAGAUGCUGGCAGUGGACGCCCCUUACUCAAGUCUGCUAAUUGGGUUGAGUGCAGACAUCUGCGAGCCUAUUUUAAAAGAGACAAAUCUAUGGGCAUAUAGGAACAGCGGUACUAUUUACUGAGUGCCGUGAUCCUGCUAGGCGCUCCUCAUCGAUUCACAGGGUGUCGAAGAUUAACACCCUGAGAGAGAUUGGCAUUGAGAACUCAAGAGGCAUCUGAAGGGGAGCCCUGACAUCUGCAGGGCUCACCGCCCGCAGGGACUGGCAAGCAGACCCCUGCAGAGGUCUCCAGUAGGCAGGCACAGAUUGCCCAUGGGCACUGGAGAGAGCGAUGUGGAUCUGAGGCGCCUUGUAGAGCCAUGGUAGUUAUAACGGAAUUGGCAAGGAAUCUAAUGCUUUGCUAUGAACCUGGCAACCUAAGUUUGCCUACUUUUGAAGACCCUACAUAUGUGUGACGCAAUGUGGUGGAGGUGACAGGGGUGGGUCCUUAUGUGCCCGGCACCCAUUCAUCACAGGCCGCUGGACACGCAGGGCAGGUCACCCACAUCACCUUUGAAACUGCUCUUGGAGAAGUCUCCCUUCUCAGAGGAGCAGAACUAACUCUUCAGUAGGUUGGAAGUUAGUACAUACGAUACAUUUAGUCCUGGCCGUUCUCAGCAGGGGAGGGGUACCAUACUUAUCCCCAUUUUACAAGGGAAAACAGCAAGGACACAAAGUCAGCUGGCCAUCAAGAGCCCCAAGUCUCUGCUGCCACUAAAUCCUCUUUCUACAGUGACCUCGGCCAUGGCACAGCACACAAGCCCGGCGCUGUUUUGAGAGUGAGUUGUCUGUGCAUGGGUGGCAAUCAAAACGAGAGCUCGACACGUGAUUCAAGUCGUUUGUCUUUCUACAGGGAGGAGAAGAGCAGCCAGCUCAACAGGAGCACUCAGGACUCAGAAGCCAUCCCGGGGGAUGGAGGCUGCAGAAGGGCUUAGGACAGACUCCAUUGCCACGUCACAGGGCCCCGUGUCACAGUCGAGAAGUUUGUGGAUUCUCUGCAGGCAAGAAGGCAAACGUGAUGUCUUUCUCCAUCAGGCGUGUGAGAAGUACCAGAGCUGGGAGGCAGACAAUGCCAGCUCGCCUGACGGAGCCACGACCUGCGGGCCACCAUCUGUUUUGCUAAGGCGACAGUCUGGAGUUCCUGGUUGAACUCCAGGUCUCCUUGCUGUGGGGCUUCACCAGUUUUACUGAGUCUCGGAGUGGAUUAUAGGUCCCCCCAGAGCACCCCCAGCAGCUGGGCCGCGUUAUAAGCUGUCUUUGUCUUAUUCAGUGUCCCAUAAUGGAUUUGCUAGAACAUGCCAUCUGAAUCAGGGAAAUGCAAUUACUGACUGCCGUUGCUUCCAGUAAGUGGCCAACUCUGCCAAUCUGGCUUAAGAAUGUAGCCCGUUAAGCUCAGCCAUGGGGGCCGUUCUGACGAGGGCCUGUUCCGCAGGCGCUGGGCACACGGCAGGGCCCUUGUCCCACUUUUUAACUGCUUUUGGAGACGUUCUGAGUGGCACCAGUGAAAUUUUCCCUGGCAAAUGAAAGUGCUCCCUCCCCAGGGCAACUGGCUCUCCAGCAGGAUGGGGAGGGAGUAUUUCUACACACCCAAGCCACCUAGAGCUCCCAUUCAGCAGCCCGAGAUGCCUGGAAGUCAAGUGGGGACACGCUGAGUCAGCACUAAACAAAUCAUGGCAUUGGAGUCUUUUAGAGUUGGAAGGAGUGUGGGGAUGGUUACACCAAAGACAACGUCAAGGUCCACGACAGAGUGUCUGGGAAUUGCUGUUACCCCGGCAUGAGCCUUUUAGACGCUGGGAUCCACAGCAGGACGGAAGCUGAACUGGGGUACGAGGCACAGGCGUGAUCUCGGUGAGCAACAAAGAGUGAAAGAAGUGUGUGAUUGGGACUGGUUAGUGCCUGGCGUUUCCCAGCAUGCUUAGCUACUGUCACAUCUGCCCCAUUAAGACAGACAGACACUGCCAUGGCUUUGCAGUCCUCUGUAAACACACAGUGAAAUUUAUUUGCCGCUGUGGAGGCCUGAGGGAUGAGGCCUUCGCACAGAUUAGCGGGUGAAGGGGUGGUGAGGAGGCGGGCUGCAGGGUGUGCUCUAUCUUCCUUGGUCCAGCCAUCCUCAGCUUCGCCAUUUUAGAGCGCAGCCAAGGAGGCCGUCAUCAGAUUUAUCCCCUCGAUUUUAGACUUCCCCGUCUCCACAAUGAUGAGCUACACCAACUUCUAUGGUUUAUAGUUUACACCGUCUGUGUGACGCUGUGAUAGGAACAAUAGGCCAACUACCAUACACACUCAUUUGGGACCAGGCAUUAGCACUGGCUGAAGAGGACACCAACAAGUGUAAGACACACACCACCAGCCUCAGGAUACACGACGGAGCAAGGAGAGAACCAUGCUGCUUCAUGAGCACCAUGUGCACAAUGUCUGACAGGUGGAGGUGAACCCAGGCGCCUCUAAGCCAGUUUUUCUGGCUUCCGGGUAAUAAACGAAAUAAGGAAGGCUUUAAGCUCCACAAGGAAGGAUGGUAUCUGGUGAGGAAGAUGUAUGUGGUGUGCGGAAUGCCAGAGGCUUGGGGAACACUGAAUUGGGUUUGGGUGAGUGGCAAGAAAUAAACUCAGUCUAAGUCUGGCACCUUAGAGGGGGAAGGGGUCAGUGCUCAUUCCUCAGGGGACUCUGAAAUGGCAGCUGAAUUCAAAUGUCUGUCUUUCCCACACUUGGAUGGCAUUUGAGAAGAGUUCUGGGAUGCUGAGGGCUGCUGGAGAAAUGAAAACGGCAGGUAAAGGACUUUGGCUUUCCUCCCGGGGGGCAGCGGGGACCCAGAACAGGGUUCUGAGCAUAGAUAUGAUAUGAUGAGAUUGAGCAGUGGGGAGUUUCUACAGGGUUGCCAUGGCAACCCUGUGGAACAUGAUCUGAAAGAGCAGGCGAGGGACUAGUGCGGAGAAGCUCUUGCUAGGGACCCAGGCAGGCACCGCUGAGCCUAUGAUGCUGGAGCACACAUUCAGACUGGAUUUGGGAGGGGAGCUGCUGCAUCUGGGCUUGGAGGGAAGGAGGUGGGGAUCCUGGGAUGGCGUCUGUGAUCUCUGCACUGUGCUGUGGGCACUCUGGUACUACUCUCAGGUCAGGACAGAUAGCGUUGAGUAGGGAAAAGAGGCUGAUAGGUAACUUAAUCAGAAGUUAGACCUGGGUUUGGGAAGUUGGGGUGUGGAACAAAACCCACAAACACAAGUGAGAUUGGUAUGUCUGAGAUCCCCUCUCUUUGCCCUCUUUACCUACCUCAGGAUUGUGUGUGACAGCCCACAUAUGCAAGGACCUGUAUCCAUCAAUGGAUGGAUAAGGGCAGCUUGUAUGAAGCCUCACAGGAAGAAGAAAUCCAGUCAUUUGAGACAACACAGAUGGACCUAGAAUUGUGAUCAAUAAAAUGCCCUGAGCGCAGAAGAUAAAUGUUUUACUCAUUGCAUUGUUGUUGUGUAGACCCUGGUGAGGCUGGACUCUCAGAAGCUGAGAGGAGAACGAUUCCCGAAUCAGCACAGAAGACAGACACAGUUUUUGGUCACCAUCGUUGGUUGGGGAGCAAUGCAUACCCCACACUUGCCAACAGGACUCCCAGAGAAGAUUAUGAACAUCAGGUUGGGGACACUGUCCUUUGUGCACACGAGUCCUUUAUGCUACAGGUCUCUGGGUGAAGGAAUUAAAAGGCAACAUGAUUUUCACCAUUUCUCUUCUCGAGGCCCUGUCUGUAGGAAGGUGAUGUGAGUGUGGCCCAGAGCAGCUCCGUGUACGCCCGAAGGAAAGCCAAAGGCUCCUGGGGAGAACUGCUGACUGUUUUUACUCACUAGUGGAGGGCAGGACCCACCCUGUACCUCCAGUCUUGUUGAAACACACUUUCUAUCUCUCUCUUCAGACCCAACACUGUUGACAGUCACACUCUAUCCCAGUGAGAGGAGAGGCAGCUCCACCUGGCUUCCCAGUCAAUGAGAACAUCUGUGUCAGCUGGAGCUGCACAACAUCUAUUGAGGCACCACUCUAGCAGCCUAUUCCACAACACGCCAGAGGUUCAAUUUCAAAGUGCCUAGAUUAGAACCACCCGACCCUCCAGGUGACAGAAACAUCGUCCUGUAAGUACAGCUGUUUGGAGCUUAAAGCCUGAAGAGGUUUUCACCGGCCCUGAUUCACAGGAUGAGGUGACUCAGACAGCCAGGCUGCUCAACAGCUUACGAGAACCCCAGGGUUGCAACCGGCUCCUUCAAGUGACAGCUUCCUUGAUAUGAACAUUAUACCCAUCACAUUCUGAAGCUCUACUCUCUGAGCUCCACUUGGUUCCCUCCCCCACCCAUCUCUGAUUCAAUUUCCACCUAGUGCCCCCCAACACCCUCUCCCCAACUCAAUUUCUCUGACUGCCCCUCCUUCCUGUUCUCUCCAUGUCAUCUUGAUACCUGUCCGUCCUUCUGUUCACCAAUGGUCCUUAAAGUGGGAGAAGUCGCUACAAGGUGGGGGGGGGGCAGAAAAGUGAGCUCACUAGAGCUCUGCCCAACCCUUUCUCCCCUCCAGCUUCUUUCCAAAGCCAUUGAUGAUCUCAUCUCCAACUCACCCUGGCACGGGUUUGUGUUUCGAGUCUUACUUGCUUGUUCUUAGCUAAAUGCACCGAAAACCUGAUCUGUGUAAGGGGAAACGAGAGAGAAGAGGUGAGGAAAGGAGAGAGAUCAAGAAAGAAAGAAAGAAAGAAAUGGAAAGAAAGAA
rnacentral:sRNA from 1 species